rnacentral:lncRNA from 1 species
UUUUUUGACCUUUUAGGGCUGCACCCACACCAUGUGGAGGUUCUCAGGCUAGGGGUCCAAUCGGAGCUGCAGCUGCUGGCCUACGCCAGAGCCACAGCCACACAAGCAGGAUCCAAGCCACAUCUGCGACCUACACCACAGCUCCCAGCAACGCUGGAUCCUUAACCCACUGAACAAGGCCAGGGAUCGAACCCACAACCUCAUGGGUUCCUAGGGUACCUAGGUCAGAUUUGUUUCCGCUGCGCCACGACAGGAACUCCUGUUUCUUGUAAUUUAAUGAUCUUUGCCUCCAAUUCUUUUCUAAGAUCUUGGAUCAUCUUUACUAUCAUUACUCUAAUGUCUUUUUCAUAGAGGUGCUAAUCUCCAGUUCACUUAGCUGUUUUUCUGAGCUUUUGUCCUAUUCCUUCAUCUGGCUCAUAUUUCUCUGACUUUUCAUUUUGUAGAGCUUUUUGUGUGGUCUCCUUUAUGUAGGCUAUAGGGUUGUAGCCUCUCUUGCUUCUGAUAUCUGGCUCCUGGUGGGAAAGGUUGAUAUAGGGGCUUGUGGCAGGUUUCCUGAUGGAAGGGACUGGUACUUGCCCACUGGUAGAUGGAGCUGAGUCUUUUCCCCCUGGUGGGUGGGGCUUUGUCUCUGCCUGUGAUUAGAGGCAGCUGUGUACCUAGGAAGACUUUAGGUAGCCUGUUUGCUGAUGGGUGAGGCUGUAUUCCCACUUGUUUGUUGUUUAGCCUGGGGCUUCUCAGCCCUGAUGGGUGGGGCCAGAUUAUUCCAAAAUGGCCACCUCCCAGGGAGCUCAUGCUGAUGAUUAUUCCUAGGACCUCUGCCUCCAAUGUCCUGCCGCCACAGUGAGCCACAGCCACCCCCUGCUUUCCCAGGAGACCCUCCAAGACCCUCAGGUAUGUCUGACCCAGAUUUUUAUGGAGUCCCUGCUUUGCCCUUGGACCCAGUGCACAUGAAACCCUGUGUGUGCCCUCCAAGAGUGGAGUCUCUGUUUCUCCCAGUCCUGUGGAGCAUUUGUGCACAAGCCUUACUGGCUUUCAACGCCAAAUGCUCCAGGGGGGUCCUUCUCCCAAUACCAGGCCCCCAGGCUGGCGAACCUGACAUGGGGCUCAGAAGUCUCACUCCUGUAGGAGAGCCUCUGCAAUAUAGCUGUUUUCCAGUCUGUGGGUUGCCCACCAGACAGGUAUGGGACUUGCUUAUAUCACAAAAGCACCCCUCCUACUGUCUUGAUGUGACUUCUUUGUCUUUGAGUGUAGGAAAUCUUUUUUGGUUUCCAGUCUAUUUUGUUGAUGGUUGUUCAGCAGUUAGUUGUAAUUUUGGUGUUUUAAUGAGGGAAGGUGAGCUUGAGUCCUUCUACUCUGCCAUCUUGUCCCAAUCUUCCCAUUUCCUUUAAUUCUCAAAUGUAUAUAUGUGUAUGUGUGUGUAUAUAUAUAUAUUCCAUUUGAUUCACCCUUGUUCAUAAAGGCUAAAACUGGAGUUCAGAGAAGCCAAGGUGAUCUUCCCGAGGCCACAUGGUCAAUCCAUGGCAGAGCUGCAGUGGUACAUGCCAACUCCACUCCCAGAGCUCUUAUAAGCCCACAAACACAUCAUUUGCUUGUUCUGCAUUAAUUCAGCCAUGGUUCAACCUCAGAUAACCAGGACUUGCACCUCGGGAUUUUCUUGAGUGUUCUUCCCUAUUUGACUUGUAGUUAAAGAGAAAACCCUCCCAUCUCAACCUUGGUAGGUGAUAAACUUGGAGCAAUGUCUGGACCUCUUUUAUGUACUGGCCUGUGCAGAGAACGUGGUGAAUUAGUCUUUCUAGGAAGGAACCACUUGCAGAAAUGAUUUCCUUGAUCAUAUUUCUCUUGGUCCAGGACUAUGAGUGGUGGGAAUCCCAGAAUCCCUGCCUGGCCAGGUUCUCAUAUGCAGACUCUUAUCUUCUUGCCUCUCCUUUCUUUUCCCCUGCCCCCACCCCCCUGACAUGUUACAGAUUAGGACCCAGAAAGAGGCAGGGGCUUGGUUGACUUAGGUAUAUCCUGAUCCUAGCAUGUAUCUUUCUUUCUUAUUAAUAAAUCCUUUACAUGAAGCUGCUUCAUUCUAUUUCACAUCAUAUUCCAAAAAAAGGCAAAGGAAAAAUUUAUAUGAUAUUUUAGUGAAGUAUUUGAUUAGUUAGAAUCUAUUUUGUCAAGGUUAGAGGCCACAUUAUAUGAUGGAAAGAACUCUAAACCAAGAAUUAGUUAACAAGGGUUCCAGCCUCAAAUUCACCAUCUGUUACAGGUGUGACCAUGUGUCAAUUUCUUCAACUUCAGGUGGAAAUAAUAGUACUUACCUACUUCACAAGAUGGUUGUGAAAAUCAACUAAUAAAAUGAGUAUUAAAAGUAUUUGGAACAUGUAAAAGCGCUGUCAAAAUUGUAUACGACUUGUGCUUGUGACUUAGCCCAGCAGCAUCUGCAUUUUUGAUACAUGUAAUUUAAGCAUUACCAGGGCCUAAAUAGAUAGCAUGAAAAGAGCAAAGUCUUUGGGAUCAAACUGGCGCUGGUUCAAAUGUUGAAUCUACCACUUGCUAUUCGAAUGCCCUUGAAUAAAUUAAUUAUGCUCACUGAGUCUCAAUUUUUCACCUAUAGAGUGAAAAUAGCAAUACUUUUCUCAUUGAGUUGUGGAGAGGACUAAAAUGGUGUGUGCUCUUAAAUGUUUAACGAUCAGCUUUCUGAACUGGAAAAAAAAAAAAAAAAAAAAGCCUUGGUUUGUGGCAUUUGCUGGUUUCCAUGGUGUAAAUACGCUCAUCACAGCUGACUUCAGGUUACUAUCACUGGUUGCUGAAUUAGGAAGCUUUGAGCACUUGGCCCUGCCAGCCUGAGAUAGUAGCCAGCACCUGCCCACCUCUCAGGUUAGAUGAGUUAAGAAAUGUGAAGGCCCAGGACAGCUUUUCCAUUUACCAGGAAAUCAGUAAAUGGACUUGACUUUAUUUUGCUUGGACCCUGUCCUCCAAGGCUCAGAAUCUGAAGCAAGCACUGAAGCCAGGUGGGAGGCAGGGAUUACGGAUGGCUGGUGGGAUCUACAAGAAGAUUCAUUCCUGGGAUAAAGGAAGAGAGGGUGAUAACUAGGAGGAAGGGGCAUCCCAGGGCUGCAGUGAGGAUCAGAUAAUUAGAGGAAGAUAACAGACAAAGAAGGAAUCCUUCCCCCAAGCCCUGGAUGCAGUGAAGGAUCGGAUUUCACACCCAGUCUUGAUGCCAUCCAGGUCCUCUUCAUUCCACCAUCACCUAGGUAACUGGGGCAGUGCAGGAUUAGUUGCCUGGCAACACCACCCACCUCUCUACUCCUGUGCACAUCACCUGUAUGCCCUGACUUCUGGUGACAUUCCUGCCUGCAGGCCACUGCCUGUCCCAGCCACACAUCUUCUGCUGCCCCCAGCCCCUGGCUAAGCCAGGCUCAGGGCCCAUGUCACCAGAGCACACCAGCCCAGAAAUCCACAAGUCUUCUGCUCUCAUAGAAGAAAGGCACCAAGGACAAAGAGCCCGGACCAAGAGCCAGGUGUCUUGGAGCCUAGUCUCAACUCCACAUAGGACCUGCCGCUGUGGGGCCUUGGGCAGGUUGCUUAACCUUUCUGAGUUUUUGUUUCUUCAUCCUCCUAACUGGAGAUUUCCCUCUCAUCUGUACCAUGGGGAUUUUCUUUCAUCUGAAAAAUGGGAAUUAUAACGCUUGCUGAGCCAAUACACAGAGUGUCCUUCGGUCCCUGUGAGAGAAGAGGCCUCCUAUCAAGUGCAAGGGGUGACAAGUUGACUAUUAAAAUUGCCAGCAAUCCUGGCAUCACACAGGCUUCCAGCCUUUCGCAUUCCCUGAAGCUAGGCAGAGGCCUUGGCACCAGGAAACCAAGGGAUGAAUGAAUACGAAUCUCUUCCAGGACAAAGCAGGUGACGUGUUCUAAUAGAUUCUGAAAAGGGUUGGUGUUCCUGUCCUUAACCAUCAUGGAGCCAUUCGUGCAGGCAGCCCGGAAUCCUGCCCAGCUCUUUCUCCCUGAGAAGAAAAUUGGCAGCCCUGGGAAGUGAGCAGCUCUCAGGUUGGACUUGAUUAGGGACCAAUUUGGGCCUGUUAGCAGAGCCUCCAGUAUCAUCUCGGCCAAUUACUGGCCCAGCCUGGCCUGCAGCUGGCUGCUCCCUUCCAAGCAGGACACUUUUAUUUCCAGCAAAGCUCUCCCUGCGCCUGAGGCAAGAGACCAGGGUGACUGUGGCCCAUUAAAAAGAUGGAGAGAGAAAUAACUCACUCAGUAAGGUAAUGGUGUAGGCGGGGCUUGAGCUGGAGCUUUA